AGGCAGCAGGCGCGCAAAUUACCCAUUCCCAGAACGGGGAGGUAGUGACGAAAAAUAACGGAACGUAUCUCGAUGAGACGCGUUACCGGAACGAUUGAGCCGUAUACGAGCUCGACAAAAGCUAUUGGAGGGCAAGUCUGGUGCCAGCAGCCGCGGUAAUUCCAGCUCCAAUAGCGUAUAUUAAAGCUGCUGCGGUUGAACCGCUCGUAGUUGGAUUGCGAUUUUCGGCCACGGUCCUCUAAGUCAGGAGGAUUGGCUCUGCCGCCGUUGGUCAUGAUCGGUGUUGUCAUGCUUGUCGUUGAUGCUCUUUGCUGAGUGUCAUCGGUGACAUGGACGUUUACUUUGAGAAAAUAAGAGCGCUCAAAGCAGGCUGCUCAUUGCUUGAACGGAAUUUCCUGGGAUAGUGAAAGAUGAUCUCGCUGGUAGAAAAAAAACCACGAGGUAAUGAUUAAAAGAGACAGACGGUGGCAUUCGUACUGCUACGUUAGAGGUGAAAUUCUUGGAUCGUAGCAAGACGAACAAUUGCGAAAGCAUUUGCCAAGAAUGUUUUCAUUAAUCAAGAACGAAAGUUGGAGGAUCGAAGGCGAUCAGAUACCGCCCUAGUUGCGACUUUAAACGAUGCCAACUAGCGAUUCGGCGAUGUCUUACAAAUGACUCGCUGAGCAGCUCCCGGGAAACCAAAGUCUUUCGGUUCCGGGGGAAGUAUGGUUGCAAAGCUGAAACUUAAAGGAAUUGACGGAAGGGCACCACCAGGAGUGGAGCAUGCGGCUUAAUUUGACUCAACACGGGAAAGCUCACCCGUCCCGAACACUGUCAGGAUUGACAGAUUGAGAGCUCUUUCUUGAUUCGGUGGGUAGUGGUGCAUGGCCGUUCUUAGUUGGUGGAGCGAUUUGUCUGGCCAAUCCCGAUAACGAACGAGACUCUGGCCUGCUAAAUAGUGACGGCACGAUUGCUUUGCCGAGCACUUCUUAGAGGGACAAGCGGCGGUACGAAGCCGCACGAGAAAGAGCAAUAACAGGUCUGUGAUGCCCUUAGAUGGACGGGGCUGCACGCGUGCUACACUGAUGGCACCAACGUGCGUUCAAGCCUGGCUUGAAGAGGCCAGGUAAUCGAUUGAAAUGUCCGUCGUGACUGGGACAGGGAAUUGCAAUUAUUGCCCUCGAACGAGGAA
rnacentral:rRNA from 1 species